rnacentral:rRNA from 1 species
AGCCCAAGAUUGAAAGCUGGCGUCUUCGGCGUCCGCAUUGUAAUCUCAAGAAGUGUUUUCCGCUUCGGACCAAGCCUAAGUCCCUUGGAAAAGGGCAUCAUAGAGGGUGAUAAUCCCGUACAUGGCUUGGAGCGCCCGAAGCUUUGUGAUACGCUUUCUAAGAGUCGAGUUGUUUGGGAAUGCAGCUCAAAAUGGGUGGUAAAUGCCAUCUAAGGCUAAAUAUUGGGGAGAGACCGAUAGCGAACAAGUACAGUGAUGGAAAGAUGAAAAGAACUUUGAAAAGAGAGUUAAACAGUACGUGAAAUUGCCAAAAGGGAAGGGUAGGAGGUCAGAGAUGCGGCCUGGGAUUCAGCCUUGCUUUUGCUUGGUGUUUUUCCCAGAUUGCAGGCCAACGUCGGUUUUGGGCACUGGAGAAGGGUAGGAGGAACGUGGCACCUCUCGGGGUGUGUUAUAGCCUCCUACUGGAUACAGCGACCGAGACCGAGGACAGCAGCGUACUCGCAA